rnacentral:rRNA from 1 species
UACGUAGGGUGCGAGCGUUAAUCGGAAUCACUGGGCUUAAAGCGCGUGUAGGCGGGUGGGAACGUCGGCCGCUGAAAUCCCCCGGCUCAACCGGGGAAGGGGCGCCGAAACGGCCCGCCUGGAGGGACGUAGGGGGAGCUGGAACUUCCGGUGGAGCGGUGAAAUGCGUUGAGAUCGGAAGGAACGCCCGUGGCGAAAGCGGUUCUCUGGGCCUGUACUGACGCUGAGGAGCGAAAGCGUGGGGAGCGAACAGG